rnacentral:lncRNA from 1 species
AAAACAAAGGAAACUCCAAAAAGAGUUUUGUAUUUAGUUAAUAGGUUCCUACUGAGUGGAAAAUUAAAGUCCCCAACUUGCAAUGUGAUUUAAGGUUGUAACUAUGUGUAAGGAGGAAUAGGAAUGUAAACCCAGCAUUAUUUAUGCUCAAAGUUGACUAGUCCAGGUACUGCUGUUGAAUAGUGUCCAGCAGGGUUCUUAAAUGCAAAGUGUGUCCUAAGGAUAAGAAACAGUAGUUCAGCCUGGCUGAAUCCAUGCUAUAUUCACUUCAAUAGACUCUUAAACUGAUACUGAACAUAUAUGUGGAUAUUUACACAUAUGAUGCCUAAGUAAGUUACCAAAAAUAUUUGUAUACUCCAUCUCCUUCUCCCUAGGGAAAAACGUUUCUUCCAAGUAAAUACAACCAAUUUAUUUGUCUUGGUUCCCCUGGAUCUUCUUUUUUAAUCAUCUUUGUAUUAAAGCAUUCUUUGCCAUUUUUCAUUAUUCUCUUUUCCAUAUCUGUCUGGACUGGGACAGUCAUUUCUUCAUAUCACAGCUUUUAUGCUAUUGAAAUACAAAAUUCUUAGUGGCUCUGCUUGCAGUUUUGCAAAAUUCAAAUAGCAGGCACAAGGCUCAUCAGUAUUUAUGUUGCUUCCUGUGUUGUGACUGAGUUUAUCUACCAACUGUGAUACUCACAAGAAGGAAGGUCCCAUCAAUGUCCUUAGAAUUAAACUCAUUGGAAUCCACAUAGGUAUUUGAGUUUUCUGUCCAUUAAACUGUUAGGCAAAAGCCAGGACUAGGAGAGAAGCUCGAGAAUCAGGCAAGCGGUGGAUUUCUAGCCCUUCCUCUCUGUCCUCUAAUUAACCUUCCUUUUAGGUGCACCCCCUCCUUACCAUUCCCUCCAGUGUGCUAAUUCAGCUCUUUUCUAUGAACCACUUUCUCAUUCCACCUCGGAGGUAACACUGAUGGACCCAGCAGUGAAGGAGGCCACUGCCAAUGCUUUGAGAAGAUCAGGAAGAGAAAUUAGGUCUGAAUGACAGGUAAAUCAUUUUAAAUAACUGGAAUAAUAGAGCAAAGCCAGAAUGGAUGUGGCCAUGGUCCUGGAGCUGACCCUGCCACUCACUAGAUCUCCAGUGGAGAAGCUUAAGAGUGUUUUAGGUCAUGAAGCAGACCUGUCUGGGCAGCAUGGAAACAACUAGAGUGCAGCUAUUUACUAACUGAUAUAAAUAUGAUUUCAUAAUAACUUACUAACUGCUAUGAAUGUUAGUCAUGGGGCCAAAAAUGGAGCAAGAUUGAGGUCCCUGUGAUGGGAACUGCUAGUCAAAUAUGGACAUUGAGCAUAUUUGCUUUUUUCAACCUUUUGUUACUCAUAUAUAUGUCCACAUCAGGAUUUUCCUGGUGAAACUAAAAAUCUCCCAAGCAUUGAAUUUCACUAUAAACAAUAAAAUGAAGGUUAUGAAGAUGCCAGAGUUUUAGAAAUUUUGAAGUGCCUAGCACUUUAAAUUUGAUUAUUGGUCACAUGCAUUCUUGGCUUUUGUAGUCACUGUAUUUAUUAUUUAAGAUAACCUAAUAAUUACAAAAAUGGAUUGUAAUAAAUAGUUUAUUCCAUGAAAAAUAUAUUUUAUUUGCAUAAAAUUAAAUUUUCAUCAAAUGAAUCCCACAACUCUUCUUUGUGUGUAAUGUUUUCUAAAGAGCAGAUGGACCC